GGCCGCUGGCCCCUCUUGGCCGCCGUCGCCACGCACCGAGUUUGUGUUUAAGGAGAAACUAACAAUGAAAACGGCCUCGUUGACGGAGGAAAAGUUGGAAUGCAGCCUCUGGUGCUGUUUGAGCGAUCCCUCUCCCCGGGGCCUGGCCGCGCGCUGCUGUGUUCUGGAAGGGCUCAUUGUACAGUCAAGGCGGCAGGGCCUUCUUCUGUCACCCAUGCUGGAGUGCAGUAGCAUGAUCACAGCUCACGGUAGCCUCCACCUUCUGGGCUCAAUCCUCCUACCUCAGCCUUCCAAGUAGCUGGGACUACAGACUAGCCCUGCUUGCAACUUCCACGUGCAGUCCUCCGCAAUGCUGCCAGAGCGGCAGCUACAACUCUAUGAUUGAAGGCAUCGCCCUCCUGGUUCUCCAUAUUGUUUGCCAUCUUGGACAGAUAAACUAGAUGAGCUCUUUUUUCAACACUCAGAGAAUGUUUUGAAUUCACAUUUCUGCCAUCUUACUCACCUAUUCGAAUCAGUUCCCUCCCCCUCCCUUGUAUCAAAUAUUGUCUCUGAUAAUAAUACAUUGAGUUAUUUGUAGUUCCUGAAGAAUUUCAUGUUCUUAUAACAUGAAAUUUUUUCCCACACUAUUUGUUAUAACUAGUUUACCUAUUUCUGCCUAAAUAAAA
rnacentral:lncRNA from 10 species